AGCGAACGCUGGCGGCAGGCCUAACACAUGCAAGUCGAACGAACCCUUCGGGGUUAGUGGCGGACGGGUGAGUAACACGUGGGAACGUGCCUUUAGGUUCGGAAUAACUCAGGGAAACUUGUGCUAAUACCGAAUGUGCCCUUCGGGGGAAAGAUUUAUCGCCUUUAGAGCGGCCCGCGUCUGAUUAGCUAGUUGGUGAGGUAAUGGCUCACCAAGGCUACGAUCAGUAGCUGGUCUGAGAGGAUGACCAGCCACAUUGGGACUGAGACACGGCCCAAACUCCUACGGGAGGCAGCGGUGGGGAAUCUUGCGCAAUGGGCGAAAGCCUGACGCAGCCAUGCCGCGUGGAUGAUGAAGGUCUUAGGAUUGUAAAAUCCUUUCACCGGUGAAGAUAACGACUGUAGCCGGAGAAGAAGCCCCGGCUAACUUCGUGCCAGCCGCCGCCGUAAUAC
rnacentral:rRNA from 1 species